rnacentral:rRNA from 1 species
UACGAAGGGGGCUAGCGUUGCCCGGAAUCACUGGGCGUAAAGGGUGCGUAGGCGGGUCUUUAAGUCAGGGGUGAAAUCCUGGAGCUCAACUCCAGAACUGCCUUUGAUACUGAAGAUCUUGAGUUCGGGAGAGGUGAGUGGAACUGCGAGUGUAGAGGUGAAAUUCGUAGAUAUUCGCAAGAACACCAGUGGCGAAGGCGGCUCACUGGCCCGAUACUGACGCUGAGGUGCGAAAGCGUGGGGAGCAAACAGG